GAUGAACGCUGGCGGCGUGCCUAAUACAUGCAAGUCGAGCGAACGGACGAGAAGCUUGCUUCUCUGAUGUUAGCGGCGGACGGGGGAGUAACACGUGGAUAACCUACCUAUAAGACUGGGAUAACUUCGGGAAACCGGAGCUAAUACCGGAUGAUAUUUUGAACCGCAUGGUUCAAAAGUGAAAGACGGUCUUGCUGUCAUUUAUAGAUGGAUCCGCGCUGCAUUAGCUAGUUGGUAAGGUAACGGCUUACCAAGGCAACGAUGCAUAGCCGACCUGAGAGGGUGAUCGGCCACACUGGAACUGAGACACGGUCCAGACUCCUACGGGAGGCAGCAGUAGGGAAUCUUCCGCAAUGGGCGAAAGCCUGACGGAGCAACGCCGCGUGAGUGAUGAAGGUCUUCGGAUCGUAAAACUCUGUUAUUAGGGAAGAACAUAUGUGUAAGUAACUGUGCACAUCUUGACGGUACCUAAUCAGAAAGCCACGGCUAACUACGUG
rnacentral:rRNA from 1 species